rnacentral:lncRNA from 1 species
GACCGGAGGUGGGGUUGCUCCGGCAAGACCCUCUGACGCUCAAGUCAGUUCUCUGCCUCAACAAGAAUGGAGUGCUCGAACGGAGAAUUUAGCAGAGUUUUUAGAUGAAAAAUGAGAGCUUAGAGAAUAACGUAUCUGGGUCCCCCUUUUAUAGGCGGAGGAGGUAACGGAUUGAUGGCGACGUUUGUAAUCGUCUGGUAGUGGGCCGCCCAUAGUCAGGAGGAAUUUAUUGCGAAGGGUAGUGGAGCGGAAUCGUGGCUAUCACCGUAGCUCGCCACGUGGAAUCAGUUGCGAGGAGUGGAGCAGCGUCCGUUGUCGUGACUUGCCAGCGGAUGGGAGAAUCGCCCGGUAUCCGUCGCAGGAAGUGGNNNN